rnacentral:rRNA from 1 species
GGAAACAGGUGCUAAUACCGCAUAACAACGAAAACCACAUGGUUUUCGUUUCAAAGAUGGUUUCGGCUAUCACUUCAGGAUGGGCCCGCGGUGCAUUAGCUAGUUGGUAAGGUAACGGCUUACCAAGGCGAUGAUGCAUAGCCGAGUUGAGAGACUGAUCGGCCACAAUGGAACUGAGACACGGUCCAUACUCCUACGGGAGGCAGCAGCG